UGAAGAGUUUGAUCAUGGCUCAGAUUGAACGCUGGCGGCAGGCCUAACACAUGCAAGUCGAACGGUAACAGGAAGCAGCUUGCUGCUUUGCUGACGAGUGGCGGACGGGUGAGUAAUGUCUGGGAAACUGCCUGAUGGAGGGGGAUAACUACUGGAAACGGUGGCUAAUACCGCAUAACGUCGCAAGACCAAAGAGGGGGACCUUCGGGCCUCUUGCCAUCAGAUGUGCCCAGAUGGGAUUAGCUUGUUGGUGAGGUAACGGCUCACCAAGGCGACGAUCCCUAGCUGGUCUGAGAGGAUGACCAGCCACACUGGAACUGAGACACGGUCCAGACUCCUACGGGAGGCAGCAGUGGGGAAUAUUGCACAAUGGGCGCAAGCCUGAUGCAGCCAUGCCGCGUGUAUGAAGAAGGCCUUCGGGUUGUAAAGUACUUUCAGCGGGGAGGAAGGUGUUGUGGUUAAUAACCGCAGCAAUUGACGUUACCCGCAGAAGAAGCACCGGCUAACUCCGUGCCAGCAGCCGCGGUAAUACGGAGGGUGCAAGCGUUAAUCGGAAUUACUGGGCGUAAAGCGCACGCAGGCGGUCUGUCAAGUCGGAUGUGAAAUCCCCGGGCUCAACCUGGGAACUGCAUUCGAAACUGGCAGGCUUGAGUCUUGUAGAGGGGGGUAGAAUUCCAGGUGUAGCGGUGAAAUGCGUAGAGAUCUGGAGGAAUACCGGUGGCGAAGGCGGCCCCCUGGACAAAGACUGACGCUCAGGUGCGAAAGCGUGGGGAGCAAACAGGAUUAGAUACCCUGGUAGUCCACGCCGUAAACGAUGUCUACUUGGAGGUUGUGCCCUUGAGGCGUGGCUUCCGGAGCUAACGCGUUAAGUAGACCGCCUGGGGAGUACGGCCGCAAGGUUAAAACUCAAAUGAAUUGACGGGGGCCCGCACAAGCGGUGGAGCAUGUGGUUUAAUUCGAUGCAACGCGAAGAACCUUACCUGGUCUUGACAUCCACGGAAGAAUUCAGAGAUGGAUUUGUGCCUUCGGG
rnacentral:rRNA from 1 species